rnacentral:rRNA from 1 species
AUUAGCUAGUUGGUGAGGUAAUGGCUCACCAAGGCAACGAUGCGUAGCCGACCUGAGAGGGUGGUCGGCCACACUGGGACUGAGACACGGCCCAGACUCCAACGGGAGGCAGCAGUAGGGAAUCUUCCGCAAUGGACGAAAGUCUGACGGAGCAACGCCGCGUGAGUGAUGAAGGUUUUCGGAUCGUAAAGCUCUGUUGUUAGGGAAGAACAAGUACCGUUCGAAUAGGGCGGUACCUUGACGGUACCUAACCAGAAAGCCACGGCUAACUACGUGCCAGCAGCCGCGGUAAUACGUAGGUGGCAAGCGUUGUCCGGAAUUAUUGGGCGUAAAGGGCUCGCAGGCGGUUUCUUAAGUCUGAUGUGAAAGCCCCCGGCUCAACCGGGGAGGGUCAUUGGAAACUGGGGAACUUGAGUGCAGAAGAGGAGAGUGGAAUUCCACGUGUAGCGGUGAAAUGCGUAGAGAUGUGGAGGAACACCAGUGGCGAAGGCGACUCUCUGGUCUGUAACUGACGCUGAGGAGCGAAAGCGUGGGGAGCGAACAGGAUUAGAUACCCUGGUAGUCCACGCCGUAAACGAUGAGUGCUAAGUGUUAGGGGGUUUCCGCCCCUUAGUGCUGCAGCUAACGCAUUAAGCACUCCGCCUGGGGAGUACGGUCGCAAGACUGAAACUCAAAGGAAUUGACGGGGGCCCGCACAAGCGGUGGAGCAUGUGGUUUAAUUCGAAGCAACGCGAAGAACCUUACCAGGUCUUGACAUCCUCUGACAAUCCUAGAGAUAGGACGUCCCCUUCGGGGGCAGAGUGACAGGUGGUGCAUGGUUGUCGUCAGCUCGUGUCGUGAGAUGUUGGGUUAAGUCCCGCAAUGAGCGCAACCCUUGAUCUUAGUUGCCAGCAUUCAGUUGGGCACUCUAAGGUGACUGCCGGUGACAAACCGGAGGAAGGUGGGGAUGACGUCAAAUCAUCAUGCCCCUUAUGACCUGGGCUACACACGUGCUACAAUGGACAGAACAAAGGGCAGCGAAACCGCGAGGUUAAGCCAAUCCCACAAAUCUGUUCUCAGUUCGGAUCGCAGUCUGCAACUCGACUGCGUGAAGCUGGAAUCGCUAGUAAUCGCGGAUCAGCAUGCCGCGGUGAAUACGUUCCCGGGCCUUGUACACACCGCCCGUCACACCACGAGAGUUUGUAACACCCGAAGUCGGUGAGGUAACCUUUUAGGAGCCAGCCGCCGAAGGUGGGACAGAUGAUUGGGGUGAAGUCGUAACAAGGUAGCCGUAUCGGAAGGUGCGGCUG